AUAGAAGAACAAGGUUUGAAGAAUCGCUAUUAUAUUUACUAAUAGAAGUUUUAUUUUGGAUUGGUAUGUAAUUUUUAAAUUGUUUUUAGUUGCAAAUACAUUAACAACUUGAUUUCUAUAUUUUUAGGAGAAAACACGGAACAGAGUAGUUAGGCUGCACCACAUGUACAAAUUAAGUUGGGUGAUAUCCCUGCAAUCAUGUUCCAUGAAUCUACAACUUAAUUUUUAAGAGGAAUUUUAAACUAUAAUAAAGGCAAAAGACAACUAAGAAACUCAAUUGGACUCUUUACUGCCUAUUGUAAACGAGAAGGACGUAAUUGGGAACUAUAUGAUGACCUCAACACAAAACCAAAAGCUAUUAGUAUAAAUACUGUGAUCACAUGUGAAAUGUUAUUGUACAC